rnacentral:rRNA from 1 species
UGCCCACCAGCUAGCUCGCACCCCAAAAUGCAACAACUCAAUAUAAAUAACCCCGAAUAACCUUAAAUCUUCUAAACAAACCAUUUUUCCCCCUAAGUAUGGGCGACAGAAAAGGACAUGUCGAAGCAACAGCAACAGUACCGCAAGGGAACGCUGAAAGAGAAGUGAAACAAAUCAGUAAAGCGCAAAAAAGCAGAGCUUGACCCUCGUA